rnacentral:sRNA from 1 species
UGAGGGCGCCCUACACCCAUGCCCUACUGGCUCUGUUCCAGAGGAAGGAAACGGCGUCAUACUGCCCCUUGUAUGACCAAGCUGGACUCAGCAAGAGGCCAUAGGUGAAAAUGCAGCCUUAGUAUCAGUCGAAGACCCAGGACUGAAGAAAUCAUGCAAAGAAGAUAAGUGUUGGCACCAUGAAGAGAGCAUAUAAGAGGUUACUAGUGAAAGUGCAGGCAAGGUCAACUAGAAGUCUCUAUCAUUUCGGAGAUGCCAAUACUGUGGGAUGACCACCAAGUACAGCAGCAGCAGAAGUUGUGUGCCAGAAUCUGUGAAAGUGAAGCCUGGGUCACCUUGGAGACCUCAAGUUGUUAGAGACCCCAGAGCAAUGGGACACCUGCCAAGGAAAGUUGCUAAUAGGGAAUGGAUCCAGCCCAAGAGAAAAGAAUUGUGUUGCAGUCAACGAAGUGGAAGAUAGUUGGAAAUCGGAAGAGCACUUUGACAUCAGACAUGUAGACACAGAAUUUGAAUUCUCCCAGCUGGUUUUUAGCCUUGCUUUGAAAUUGUCUUUUACCACAUGACAAGUCCGUUAUGCACCUUCGCCUGCACUGUGCCAUCGAACAGUCUAUCUGUGAGGCUUAAUGAAGACAAGAAUUCUAUAAAGGGUGAUUAUGAGGAUGCACUGACUCUUUCCAUCAAAUAUCUUCUAGUUUCAAAGUAUCAAGUAUUCACACAUCUUUUAAAGCUUUAGGAACUGGAAUUCACAGAGAAAAUAUGAACUGACAUUUAAAUAAAUGAGCAUUCAUCUCUUGUAUGGAAGAUAAACUUCAGAA